rnacentral:rRNA from 1 species
AAGAGACAGCAGUAGCCACGGGAAUACGUAGGUGGCAAGCGUUGUCCGGAAUUAUUGGGCGUAAAGGGCUCGCAGGCGGUUUCUUAAGUCUGAUGUGAAAGCCCCCGGCUCAACCGGGGAGGGUCAUUGGAAACUGGGAAACUUGAGUGCAGAAGAGGAGAGUGGAAUUCCACGUGUAGCGGUGAAAUGCGUAGAGAUGUGGAGGAACACCAGUGGCGAAGGCGACUCUCUGGUCUGUAACUGACGCUGAGGAGCGAAAGCGUGGGGAGCGAACAGGAUUAGAUACCCCUGUAGUCCCUGUCUCUUAUAC